CGGCGGGUCAUAAACUCUCGCUAUUGCUGUGAUCAAUCUAAGGGGUUUGGGGAGCCGAUUAAAGCACGUGCAAUAGUAUUUGAUGUCUCAAGUUUCACUGUGGGACGGAGCCGACCUCAGGAUUAUUUUUCUGCUCUCACGGAGACAACGGGAGAGAGACGUUCUGGAAUGGAGAAGUUUUCCCUGAUAAAUUCACUUUUUUCCACCCGCCUAGGGCCAGUCCUGAUUUUCCUGCCAAACCUGAUGCUGGGGUUGCAUGGACAAAGAAUUCUAGGAGACUGUGGCCCACGAACCUCUGAACCUCACUCGAUUGUUGCUGGACUAUGCUUGGGCAGGCAGCUUCAUUGUGCAGUGGGAAAGUAAGUGGUGCUGCUAUUUUUUACAAGAGAUGUUGGGCAUAUUUCUCUCCUAUGGCACUGCUACAUCUUUAAUGGAAAUAAGGGGUAUGUUUUAGAGCAUGACAGUGCAUCUACUUUAGGACCAAGGUUUUUCCAUCAGCUUCACAUCACGGGAAGACUGAUCAUAUGAGAACCUCUGGACUUAGCCCCCAGGUCCACUGCUCUUUUUAUUUGCUCAGCUUUUAUUUAUGCCCCGGUAUUAAUGUAAAGCAGAGGUGCUAGUCUCCGCUUCUGGACUGAAACGCUGCUUUCCUUAAGUGGUUUAGGGACGUGAUAUUGGGUUCAUUCCUGUGUUGUCUCACCUUGUGAGAACAAACUAAAUUGUAGGCUUCCUGAGCUGAAGUGGAAGUUAUUGUACACUGCUUGAUGGCAGCAGCGCAAGCUCCUUACUGAGGUUUCUUUGAACCAUUGUCGCCCCUUCCAGAAAAGUCCAGGGUGCAAAGGUAGGAACAGGAGCAGUGUGAAUCAGAGUUCAUGGUUCAAGUGUGCAAGGUAGAUUUGAAGACUAAGCACAAAUUUGUGGGGGAGCAGGAGUAAUUUAGCACGUGGCUGAUUCAAGGGCAACGUGCAUAGAAGCAGCAGAUAGCUGCUCAGUUCUUCAGCUUCCUCUUCCAAAAUGUUCAGCUAGUAAGCUCCCUCUGGUGUACUAGUGCACUCAUUGCAACCAGAUUUUUUUUUUGAUCUAAUAAAAAGGUAAGUCACAAAAAAUUAUCA
rnacentral:lncRNA from 1 species